rnacentral:rRNA from 1 species
GACGAACGCUGGCGGCGUGCUUAACACAUGCAAGUCGAACGGAAAGGCCCUGCUUUUGUGGGGUGCUCGAGUGGCGAACGGGUGAGUAACACGUGAGUAACCUGCCCUUGACUUUGGGAUAACUUCAGGAAACUGGGGCUAAUACCGGAUAGGAGCUCCUGCUGCAUGGUGGGGGUUGGAAAGUUUCGGCGGUUGGGGAUGGACUCGCGGCUUAUCAGCUUGUUGGUGGGGUAGCGGCUUACCAAGGCUUUGACGGGUAGCCGGCCUGAGAGGGUGACCGGCCACAUUGGGACUGAGAGACGGCCCAGACUCCUACGGGAGGCAGCAGUGGGGAAUAUUGCACAAUGGGCGGAAGCCUGAUGAAGAAACGCCGCGUGCGGGAUGACGGCCUUCGGGUUGUAAACCGCUUUCGCCUGUGACGAAGCGUGAGUGACGGUAAUGGGUAAAGAAGCACCGGCUAACUACGUG